UCUUUAUACAUAUCCAAUGUAGAGGUUUUAGAAGUAUUAGAAUCUUCUGUAUUCAGUUUCUUUUGGAACGAGAAAUCGUUGGAGUCUGAAAAAUUAUCAUGGGAUAUCUUUAAGCCUUUCUUCAAAUAAGGGUGAAGCUAAGAAAAUAUUAGUGAUUGCUUGAUUAUUUACAUAACUGAAACAAUGGAAAACUCAUUUUGUGUCAUAUGUUAAGAUGAAGUCUUGAAUAAAACAUUCGCCUGUUCGUGUUUUAAACUUACUUUAGAUUUUAAAUCGGCAAGCCGUGAAUUAUUUAUGGCCAUGUUUUGUUUCAUUUCUUCGUAAGAUUUCUGUUCAUUCUCCAAACGAGCAGUUUCAACCUUCAAUUCCUGUUGAAGUACGUUAAUAUGGUCCAAAUCACUGUAUAAUUGCUGUUCCAAUUGCAUCUAAAAAUGUUAGUCAUAUCUCUUUCGUAUGUAUGCGUAUCAAGACUUAAUAACUUACAUUCGAAGAAAGUAAUUGAGAGAACAGUAUUGACUCUUUUCUUUUCCUUGGUACAGGCAAAUUUCUCAGAGGAGCUUCGAUUUUUAAAAGUAUAUUCAUGAACCAUUCCUCGGCCAAAGAUUUUCUUGUUUCUGAUUUUAUUGUAUUCAAAACCAAUCUGUUACGAUAGCACAGUUAGCAUACGUACACAUAAUGACUAAAAAAAUUUGGAAAAGUACUUAAAAGACUUUUCCAGGUAAACAUCAACAGCAAACUUUGAUUUCCCUUUCAGUACACAAGUAAGCGCUAAAAAGCACAAGCACUUUUAGCAAUAACAUGAUUCUCAAUUACUUACCUUGAACACGUCCUAAAAAUAAUUAUUAUUUCUUGGCGCUGCUUAUCCUCUAAUGGACGCCAUCUUUUUUGAAUUUGGUCUCGACGCACCGCGCGAACGCGCCUUUUCAUUUCCAUUGCAUAUAUUUAUAAAAAUGGUGCUACCACUUCAAUUUUCUUUUAAGCAAUCUGGAACUUAAAUAGCAAAAUAUGUACGUAUGGUUUUAUAUGAAAAAUUUCUCUAUAACAAGAAUUCGCCGUUUCAACGUUUGCAUGCUGUUGUAGCGCUUCGGACGAAGUUGUUUUACAUAUAUACAGUCAACCAAGCCAAUUCUCAAUUACUUAUUUUAUUUCAAUAA